rnacentral:rRNA from 1 species
GUGACUGCGUACCUUUUGUAUAAUGGGUCAGCGACUUAUAUUCUGUAGCAAGGUUAACCGAAUAGGGGAGCCGGAGGGAAACCGAGUCUUAAUUGGGCGUUAAGUUGCAGGGUAUAGACCCGAAACCCGGUGAUCUAGCCAUGGGCAGGUUGAAGGUUGGGUAACACUAACUGGAGGACCGAACCGACUAAUGUUGAAAAAUUAGCGGAUGACCUGUGGCUGGGGGUGAAAGGCCAAUCAAACCGGGAGAUAGCUGGUUCUCCCCGAAAGCUAUUUAGGUAGCGCCUCGUGAAUUCAUCUCCGGGGGUAGAGCACUGUUUCGGCUAGGGGGCCAUCCCGGCUUACCAACCCGAUGCAAACUGCGAAUACCGGAGAAUGUUAUCACGGGAGACACACGGCGGGUGCUAACGUCCGUCGUGAAGAGGGAAACAACCCAGACCGCCAGCUAAGGUCCCAAAGUCAUGGUUAAGUGGGAAACGAUGUGGGAAGGCCCAGACAGCCAGGAUGUUGGCUUAGAAGCAGCCAUCAUUUAAAGAAAGCGUAAUAGCUCACUGGUCGAGUCGGCCUGCGCGGAAGAUGUAACGGGGCUAAACCAUGCACCGAAGCUGCGGCAGCGACACUCAGGUGUUGUUGGGUAGGGGAGCGUUCUGUAAGCCUGCGAAGGUGGCCUGUGAGGGUUGCUGGAGGUAUCAGAAGUGCGAAUGCUGACAUAAGUAACGAUAAAGCGGGUGAAAAGCCCGCUCGCCGGAAGACCAAGGGUUCCUGUCCAACGUUAAUCGGGGCAGGGUGAGUCGACCCCUAAGGCGAGGCCGAAAGGCGUAGUCGAUGGGAAACGGGUUAAUAUUCCCGUACUUGGUGUUACUGCGAAGGGGGGACGGAGAAGGCUAUGUUGGCCGGGCGACGGUUGUCCCGGUUUAAGCGUGUAGGUGUGUGUUCCAGGUAAAUCCGGUUCACUUUAACACUGAGGCGUGACGACGAGGCACUACGGUGCUGAAGCAACAAAUGCCCUGCUUCCAGGAAAAGCCUCUAAGCAUCAGGUAACAUCAAAUCGUACCCCAAACCGACACAGGUGGUCAGGUAGAGAAUACCAAGGCGCUUGAGAGAACUCGGGUGAAGGAACUAGGCAAAAUGGUGCCGUAACUUCGGGAGAAGGCACGCUGACACGUAGGUGAAGUGAUUUACUCAUGGAGCUGAAGUCAGUCGAAGAUACCAGCUGGCUGCAACUGUUUAUUAAAAACACAGCACUGUGCAAACACGAAAGUGGACGUAUACGGUGUGACGCCUGCCCGGUGCCGGAAGGUUAAUUGAUGGGGUCAGCGCAAGCGAAGCUCCUGAUCGAAGCCCCGGUAAACGGCGGCCGUAACUAUAACGGUCCUAAGGUAGCGAAAUUCCUUGUCGGGUAAGUUCCGACCUGCACGAAUGGCGUAAUGAUGGCCAGGCUGUCUCCACCCGAGACUCAGUGAAAUUGAACUCGCUGUGAAGAUGCAGUGUACCCGCGGCAAGACGGAAAGACCCCGUGAACCUUUACUAUAGCUUGACACUGAACAUUGAGCCUUGAUGUGUAGGAUAGGUGGGAGGCUUUGAAGUGUGGACGCCAGUCUGCAUGGAGCCGACCUUGAAAUACCACCCUUUAAUGUUUGAUGUUCUAACGUGGACCCGUGAUCCGGGUUGCGGACAGUGUCUGGUGGGUAGUUUGACUGGGGCGGUCUCCUCCUAAAGAGUAACGGAGGAGCACGAAGGUUGGCUAAUCCUGGUCGGACAUCAGGAGGUUAGUGCAAUGGCAUAAGCCAGCUUGACUGCGAGCGUGACGGCGCGAGCAGGUGCGAAAGCAGGUCAUAGUGAUCCGGUGGUUCUGAAUGGAAGGGCCAUCGCUCAACGGAUAAAAGGUACUCCGGGGAUAACAGGCUGAUACCGCCCAAGAGUUCAUAUCGACGGCGGUGUUUGGCACCUCGAUGUCGGCUCAUCACAUCCUGGGGCUGAAGUAGGUCCCAAGGGUAUGGCUGUUCGCCAUUUAAAGUGGUACGCGAGCUGGGUUUAGAACGUCGUGAGACAGUUCGGUCCCUAUCUGCCGUGGGCGCUGGAGAACUGAGGGGGGCUGCUCCUAGUACGAGAGGACCGGAGUGGACGCAUCACUGGUGUUCGGGUUGUCAUGCCAAUGGCACUGCCCGGUAGCUAAAUGCGGAAGAGAUAAGUGCUGAAAGCAUCUAAGCACGAAACUUGCCCCGAGAUGAGUUCUCCCUGAGACUUUAGGUCUCCUGAAGGAACGUUGAAGACGACGACGUUGAUAGGCCGGGUGUGUAAGCGCAGCGAUGCGUUGAGCUAACCGGUACUAAUGAACCGUGAGGCUUAACCUUAC